UGGAUAGACCUUAUGUCAGACCCAAACAAACUCACUUGGCAUAGAAGCUCACCAUAAUAUUCUGGACAAAUAUCACCUUAUUAGUGAUUGGAAAAUAGGUGAUACAGUAGGUACAGUGCCAUGUAUAUAAAGGGUCUGGAAUUUACCUGGAAGAGAACCAAUCCAAAUGUUGUGGAACACUGUACAGUACUGUACAUGUUCCCUGCUGCUGUCAGAGAAUUUAACACCAACAAGUUGGAUCCCCAAGUCUUGACACUUCACUCCUUAGACUUGACUGGUUCUGUAUGAGAACCCUGAUAAUUAUGCUCAGAAAACGAAAUUUCAGAAGCAUUUCUCCAAUUAAAUCAAGAAAAGGCAAGUUGCCUUCAGCAAGAUUGGGUAGGGUGCAUAAAGGGCUACUGUACUUCCCUUAGUCCUUAUAUCUAAGGGUUGGCGACCACAGUCCUGUACUCUAAUGCUUUCAGGUUGUUUUUACCAAUUCUCCAAGGUCCUGCACCUCUCUGGUGACCUGUUUUUAAUAUCAUUCAUCCAUCCCGGUCUCUGGUAUU